UUACGGUCAAAUCACGCUGAAAACACCGGUUCUCGUUCGAUCACCGAAGUUAAGCAUCGUAGAGCCAGGUCAGUACUUAGAUGGGGGACCGCUUGGGAACACCUGGUACUGUAAUC